AUCUUAGCCAAGCGGUUAAUGGAAACAGAAUAUAAAUCUGUCUGCGCAGGUUCAAAACCUGCUGAAGAUG